rnacentral:lncRNA from 1 species
UCUCAAGUUAUUCCAAGUGUAUUUGGUGUUGUGUGAACCAUUUGAGGUGUCACACUUGGGGCACUAGGCACUCAAGCUUCAUGAAGACUUUCUACAUCAAAGAGGUAUGUAUUCUAUCUUGUUAUAUUCAUUGUUUUGUAUGCUAGAUUAGGAUAAUACCUUGGAAGUUCUUAUUUGCAUGUAUAAUAGAGAAAACAUAGAUCCAAGGUAUUUAGGGUUGCAUGUACACUUAGGAGUGUUAGAAUGCUCAAAACCCAACAGUGGUAUCAGAGCCUAGGCUUGUUUUCUUGUUAUACCUGCAAUAGAAGCUGAAAAAACGAAUCUGGUGCUGUCUGGCCAUCAGACUCGGCGAGUCCAUCAGGAGACUCGACGAGUCCAUGCCUAAAAAGUGAUGAAUUCGAUCCAACUCGCCGAGUUGGUUCAUGCACUCGACGAGUUGGACCCCCAGACAGCAUAUUUUCGAGUUUUUUGGCUAGAAAUGGACUAGGAACAUUACCCUAAGUUGUUUUUGAACUUAUAAACUUGUUUUUGAUGUGGUAAUGUUCAUGCUAAUCCAUUUUCAAAGAUAAUUGUCAAUAGAUUCAUGUUUUGUAUUAGUUUAAGGUUUAGACUAAUUACAUGAAAAAGUUUGAUUUGAAUUAUCUUGUUCUUAUGAGUUGCUUAGAUUAAUAGAAAAGUUGAGUGAAAUAGUUGUUUUCAAUCCAUAUUAAUCUAAGAGUUGAUUCUAAAAUGUGUUUUUGUAACUUGUCCUCAAGUUAUAUGAAAAGUCACAUUUAAGUUUCAUAAAACUCAUAAAAGUUGGCAAUGGUUACAAAAUGAAGAGUCUAGUGUCAUUGAAUAAUUUUUUAUGACUCCAUAACUUGUCCUCAAGUUAUGGAAGUUCAAGAGUCACUUCAUUAAAGAAAAAUAUGUAACCAUAAUUAAAUCCAUAAGUUAUAAAAUAAAGAAAAAGUUAGUUCUUUUAUUAGUUUAAAGUCUUCCAUAACUUGUCCUCAAGUUAUGGAACUUGAAGAGUUUUUGGAUUAAAACUACUUUAAACACAUAAGUUAUGGAAUUAAUUAGUUUUGAAUAGUUUCAAAACUUGCCCUCAAGUUUUGGAAUUUGAAAAGUUUUCACUUAUGAAUACUUUAAUUCCAAGUUAGCCCUUAGAAUUUUAAAAGUUAAAAUUCAACCCUUAUACUUUAUAAUAUUAUAAGUUAAUAAUAUAUAUAUGUAUAAGAGUAAAGUCAGUCUUACCGCUAGUACGCCUCAUUCACGAAGCCGGUCUAUAAGGUGGGUAUAAGGUUGUUGCCUAUAAAAUGGCAACUUAAUGGGUGUCCACUCUCACCCACCGCUUGCUUGACUGGUGGAGGGUCGUUAGCCGAACGGGUUUGACAGGACUAGAAUUCUCCCUUCAUUAAAAGUAUUAAUGAUAAUACUAAGUAACUAAACUCUUAAUAAUACCCAAUCUUAGUUACUUAGGAAAAAUGUGAAUAAGGUGCUAAUCCAUGAAAUUACACUUUACACUUUGUCUAAGUCGUUAGUGGAGCGUGUGUGGUUAACCGGCACACUAACUUGGACUUAACAAGGUAGGUAAAGGGUGACUUAAUAUUUAUCAUAGUAUCGAUGGAGCGUGUGUGGUUAACCGGCACAUCGAUUGAGGGGUAAUUUAUUAAGGGUACCAAGUGAUUUGCAUGGUUACUUCACACCUUGUUUUGUGAUCCUCGGCAUCCCAGUCACAAAACCUGAAGGGCACACUCGAGAUUGAAACAUGCCUUUGAAAAGUUCAAUGAAUCUCAAAGAUCUAGGAGUUUCAAAACCAAUUAAAACCUAAUAAUACAUUUCGUUUAUCUUGGUGGAAAUUGGUGAAUCGUCAUUCACCUACCUUCAAAUAUUUUAUAGCUUGGAUUACGGCAUACCUCUUCUAAGUUAUAAAAUAGUUUGUUGGGUCCUAGCCUUAAUAUUUCAUAUUGGGUGUCAUAUUAAGGACUUUAAAUCAACUAUCUUGAAUAUCUCCCAAAAGAUGUCUGGUUUAGACACCUAUGAUCUUCCCAAAUCUCUUGAAACAAGGUUUCCUAAUGAAGAUGAUGUCCCAUGGAUAUCAUACUUCUUCACCUCUUCAAAUUAUUCUCCCUAACCCACAAGUUCUUGAAAAGUUUAAGGUCACUCAGGCCCUAUUGGCAAGGCAAGGUCUAGGUGUGGUCACAUCUUGGAGAUGUAGUCACAUAUUGACAAGCCGGGAGAGUUGGGUGUCAAAGUCUUGAGAAAGUUGGUGGUUCAACUACUUUCUAAGUCACAUAGUGAGUUCUUUUGGAACACCUAUGAAAAAGACUAUGACAAGACCCUUAAUGAUCUUAUCUAUUUGUUAAGAUCAACUUCCUAAAACUUUAUGGACAUUGACAAUGAUGACAUUGGAUAUCCAGUAAAGCAUUCUCUUCCCAAUGGAAAGGGAUCGGCUAUAGUCAACUCGGUUGACCAAAUGGUAAAGAGAAAAGCUAAGUCUGUGAUAGUCCUGUGUACCAUUAUCAAAGGGUCCAUAUGUUUGUAUUGCCAAAGAAAGGGCAUUGGUUGCGAAGCUGCCAAAUUUACCUAAGGAUGUUAAAGUCAAUAAGUUUGACUCUACUUCAGGUAAAAUCCACUAUCUAACUCUGUUAAGUUUCUAUUCUGAGAUUCUUGAUACAUGAUGUGACCGGGUCGCAUGGUGAUGGUUUAAGAAUCAAAGGAAAGUGAAGAAACUUAAAGGAAGAAUAUGCUGAAUCUGAUCGCAUAGAUGGAUUUCUAUCGCAUAGUUUGAAAAAUCGGAUUCUUGAGCUACUUCUUAGGAGUUAUGAGAUAUUGCUUAGGAAUAGAUAACAACAAGUUUUCAUAUGGAUUGUAAGGAUAGUUUUUCCGCAAAGUUUUAAAAUAAAAGGAAAUUUUUGAUUUUAUUUAUUUUAAAAUAUCCUUACAAUGGCAUCUGUGGAAAUUUUUGUUGCUUAUAAGAUUCCAUUAGUAGCAAGAGUGGAAGUAUGAAAUUGAUUCUUUCAUUUGUGGUAAUGUCUAAAUUUACCAAAUAAGGAAAGAUUCUCAUCACCCAAGUUUCAAUUGGACCGGAACUUGGAAUCAUGCAAGUUGUAUAGCAUGAUGAAUGAGAACUUUCAAGUUUUGGAAAAUUAAGACUAAUUACUUGUUCACAUGGAUGUGUGAGUCAAGUAAAGGACUUAGGGAUCGAGUACACAUUCUUGUGCACUGAUUAAGUCCACCACUAAAGAUCGAUAAGAAGAAUCAAAUAAGGCAGAAGGAUAAAAGUUUCUCAAAUCUGAAAAGAUGGGAGAGUACUUUAGUAUCAGUUUUGUGAUCAUCUUAAUGAUUAAGAAACCAUAUCAAAAUUAGUUCUCUAAGGAAAUCUUAGUGCAUUCUUAUGACUAAGAAGAGGAACUUGAAUUGUUGAAAUGGUUAAAUCAAGAAGAUGAGUCAUACUUCGUUCCAAUACAAGUCUUAGAGUCAUACUCCAAGAUUGUCAUUUGAGUGACAUGUCUUAAAGAAGGUUUAAAACACUUGUCAAAUGUAAGAGUAAAAGUUUUCUACUCUUGUACAUUUGAAAUUGGUAAGUUGUGAUGUUUUGGAUAAAACAAAGACCAACUUAGGCCAAUUGGGUAAAGUGUUUUUCUUGAUUAGAAUCCGCACUAUCUCUUGGAUGUUUGACAAGGGAGUCUUAUAUGUCAAGAGGACAGUGGGAGUCUUAAAGGUCUUGAAAGUCUCAAGAAAUAAUCAAGAAUAAAACCUAAAGUUCUUCACUAGCACACGACUUGAGGUUCAUAACCUAUCGUGUUGACAUAUUCUGUGCCCAUUCCAGUUAAAGUUGGUUUUGCAUAUGAGUUCUUAGAGUUCUCAAUUUGUUGCACAACAACUUGGAAGCAAUGGCAGGCCCUUGAGCUGCCAGGUGGCAAGAAGUUAAGAUUGAGUUCAAUCCAUAUGGUUUUGGAUUUGUCAUUAUCUUUGUCUUGUGAUUAUGGUUUGACAAAUUCAUAUGGGUAGGAACUCAUACACCAUAUAAAUCUAAGUGUCAUAAGGUUUCUCUCCGAUUCAUGAAAAUGAUGGUGAGGAAACGCUUUCACUAAGUAGAUUUUACGAAGAUAUCAAUUGUGUUAUUUGCAUUUUCAAAAGUCGUUAGUGGAGCGCGUGUGGUUAACCGGCACACUAACAUGGACUUGUGAGAAAUGGCAAAUGCCUAAGCAAUUGAGACCAUGAUUACGGUAUCCCUUUUCAUGGUUCUUGAAAUUGCUUAGACACACAGGUGAGCUAUCUACGGAAAGGGUGUAUGAAUCUAAAUUUCAGACUGUCCAGCUGAUUUCUGAGUACAUGUCAAAGCUAGUGGGAGCAUAAGUGUUAUGCUAAUAAUCAUCAUGUUAGUGGGAGCAUGAUAAUUAUGAUAAGUAUUGCAAGUUAGCAAUGUUAAUUAUAGAAAACAAAAGUUUCAAUUGGGAAAAAGUUGUUUUGCUAUAAUUAAGGGAGAGGAAAUUAUGCUUCAUCUCAAAUCUAUAAGCUUAGAUCGUGAGGUUUUAAUCAUUUAGUCAAGGAUAUAUAUGAAUUUCAUGUUGGAAUGGCUCAACAUAAGGAAAUUCUGUAUAUGGGUCCAUUAUUUGCGUUCUAAAAUUCGAUUAUGAUUACGGCAUCCCUUUUCAUAAUCUGAAUUAUGAGAACUUGGCAAAUUGAAAUGGAAAUAUUAUAGCAAAAGACUGGUUUAGUCUUUAUGUAAGACAUCAUGAAUCGUGUCCCAUAUGCUUCGGAUAUAGGAUCGAUUACAUGUGCUAUAUUCAUCCGUUCUAAAAUUUUCCAAAUGCCUGGGGCAUUAAGAAGGGAAAAGGUUUAGAACUGGAUAUGACUAAAAGGAUUAAACAAUUGUCGAGGACAAUCUAAGGUUUACCAAAGAUUGGUUACUCAAGGACAAUUGGAAGUAUAGUGAUAAUUCUGGAAGGACCAUAUUGACAUAAUCUGUAAGGAGGCAACUCUUGUUCAGAAGUGAUAGUCAAAAUGGAAUCUGGAAAUGUUUCAAAGUUAGAAUUUUCAAUCUGUGUAAGAUUAAGGAAACUUAAUGCAAGAAGGAUAUUUCCAAGGAGUUGAUCUCCUUUGGAAUACUCUGUAAUGAUUGUUGCCAAGUCUUUGUGACUUUGUGCAUAAUCAUUACAAGAGGAUCAAUGCAUAUAAGUUUAGAAUCUAACAGAUUUCAGUAAAUGGCAUGAAUUUGGAAUUCUUGCAUUUGCAGUAAGGAUUUGGGAGUGUGAAAAGAGAAUCAUUGAAGUUAUGUUCAAUUGAUCUAGUUCACAAAGUAAAGAUCAUAGACAAACAUAGUAUGCAUACUUGGUGUGUGGCAUGACUAGUGUUUAAGAAAACAUAGUGUACAUGCUUGGAGCAUGGGACAACUAUUGUUUUAAAUUCAAGAAUAAAGUUGAUAGCUGAAACAGUAUACAAUGAAUAAUGUGUAAUCAUAUGGUGAUAAAUAAAAGGUGUUUUAUUUAUGUUCAAAGGGUUGAUACCAUAUUGGAUUCAAUUAUUAUUGUGUUUCAUUUUGCAUGUUUUGACUUCCCGAAUAAACUGGGUUAUUCUUCCGGAAUGACUAAGUUAUUCAAACCAUCCACAGUCGGUCAUAUGUUGGAAGUAGAUAUGAAUUAAGACUGUCAUGGGUUGGCUUGUAGAGGUCUAAGGUGUUGGACAAAGGGCUACAACACUCAUGAGUGCUCAUAAGUUCUGAGUAUUGGAUUCAACCCGCGCUCAUUGGAAUCACUUCAUGGAUUUUAUCACGAGUGAUCAUGAGACGAUAAUAUCUUAUAUUCUUCAAACCUAGAGAUAUGAGUUGUUACUAUGAGUUGAUAGUACAUUGAUUGCACGAAAACGCAUUUGGUAACUCGGUGCUAUAAAACGUGCCUUUGUGUAUGAUUCAACAAGUAGUAGAACAAGCCAUAUGAGUCGAAGUUUAUCCAUUCCUUUUACCUUCGGGAUAAAAGCGAUAUCUGUGGGCCCCUCGAUGAUUUGAUGAUGACAAAUGGAAGUGCUCGGCCGGGCCAGGACUGAUUUGAUUUGUUCAAUUAGUCAGUCGUCAUAAAUCGGAAAUCGGGAAACAACAAAUGGACAGAGAGAAUGAUUAUAAUCCAUGUCUCAGUCCAUAUGAUAUCUAGAAUGGAGGAAUAUAUGAUCCCUUAUCUAAUGGACAAGUCAUUGACAAAGGUCAGAGUUCAUCUACAAGGUCAGAGUUCGACAGAAGCUUUUGAGAGCUACGAUUGCCAGUUGGUUCCUGAAGUCAUACGCAAUAAUAGUUUUAGACUUAUCCAAGUGGGAGACUGUUGGAUUAAUGUCUAAGUCCAUAACUAUAAUUGGUAAGACUUGACCCGACCCGGCAUGGUCCAUUUGGGUUGCAUGGCAUCAUGCACUUGGAUAGACUAUAAUGAGAGAAAUAAGACACUUAUGGUUAUUAAUAUAUUAUAAGUUCUAGUAUAUUAAUAAUAAGAAUAAUAAGAUUAUUUAAUUAGUAUUGAUCAAGAAUUAAUCUAGGAUUAAUUAAGUGAUCAAAAGAAGACUAAUUAAAUAUAUGGGUUGAUUGUGUAAAUCAUCCAUACUUGUAUAGUGGGCUAAUGCUCCAUGGAUAAUCAAGUUGGGCUAAAACCCAUAGGAUGGUCCAUGGAUGCUCCAUGGUGUAUUUGAACCCAUGGAUCCAAGGAAAUGGAAAGUCAUGACAAUUAGGGUUUACCCUAAUUGUAACACUAUAUAAAGAUCUUAAUCUUGACAAAAUCGGCCACUAGUAUCAAUCUAGAGAAGGGCUAGCCGAUUUCAUGAAGUGUAGAUUUCUCUCAAGUUAUUCCAAGUGUAUUUGGUGUUGUGUGAACCAUUUGAGGUGUCACACUUGGGGCACUUGGCACUCAAGCUUCAUGAAGACUUUCUAUAUGAAAUAGGUAUGUAUUCUAUCUUGUUAUAUUCAUUAUUUUAUAUGCUAGAUUAGGAUAAUACCUUGGAAGUUCUUAUUUGCAUGUAUAAUAGAGAAAACAUAGAUCCAAGGUAUUUAGGGUUGCAUGUACACUUAGGAGUGUUAGAAUGCUCAAAACCCAACANNNNNNNNNNNNNNNNNNNNNNNNNGCCUUAGACCCAUCCACACAAAUGGAAACUCACCUGGUACUGCUGAACUUGCUGGUAACCCCUCUGGAUGAUGACCGACAAAUCCCUGAACUGCUGCUCCACUAGCUCCCCGAGCUACCAAUGCCAAAACAUAUAACACUUAGCUUAACUGUUCUCCAAAAGUCAACUAAGUCAGCUCUGGUCAAAGUCAACCUUCCAGGUCAACCCUACUCGCCGAGUUCAUUAGCUCAUUAUCCUUUCAUUCGCGACUCGACUCACCGAGUCUACCGAUUUCCGAUUCCUGACAUGUCCAACUC